GACGUCGAUAUUCGACGUCAUAAACACAAUCAACUUAGAUGUUGAUGACGUCGAUAUUCGAUGUCAUAAACACGACCAACUUAGGUGUUUAUGACGUCGACGUCAUAAACACGACCAACUUAGGUGUUUAUGACGUCGAUAUUCGACGUCAUAAAAACAAUCAACUUAGGUGUUGAUGACGUCGAUAAUCGAUGUC
rnacentral:miRNA from 1 species